GAUGAACGCUGGCGGCGUGCCUAAUACAUGCAAGUCGAACGCAUAGCGAAAGGUGCUUGCACCUUUCAAGUGAGUGGCGAACGGGUGAGUAACACGUGGACAACCUGCCUCAAGGCUGGGGAUAACAUUUGGAAACAGAUGCUAAUACCGAAUAAAACUUAGUGUCGCAUGACACAAAGUUAAAAGGCGCUUCGGCGUCACCUAGAGAUGGAUCCGCGGUGCAUUAGUUAGUUGGUGGGGUAAAGGCCUACCAAGAAAAUGAUGCAUAGCCGAGUUGAGAGACUGAUCGGCCACAUUGGGACUGAGACACGGCCCAAACUCCUACGGGAGGCUGCAGUAGGGAAUCUUCCACAAUGGGCGAAAGCCUGAUGGAGCAACGCCGCGUGUGUGAUGAAGGCUUUCGGGUCGUAAAGCACUGUUGUAUGGGAAGAACAGCUAGAAUAGGAAAUGAUUUUAGUUUGACGGUACCAUACCAGAAAGGGACGGCUAAAUACGUG
rnacentral:rRNA from 1 species